UACGGAGGGUGCAAGCGUUAUCCGGAUUCACUGGGUUUAAAGGGUGCGUAGGUGGAUUUAUAAGUCAGUGGUGAAAGCCCCGAGCUCAACUUGGGAAUUGCCAUUGAUACUGUAGACCUUGAGUGCGGUUGAGGUAGGCGGAAUGUUACAUGUAGCGGUGAAAUGCUUAGAUAUGUAACAGAACACCAAUUGCGAAGGCAGCUUACCAAGCCGAUACUGACACUGAUGCACGAAAGCGUGGGGAGCAAACAGG
rnacentral:rRNA from 1 species